GCGAGUCAUUGUAGUAAUACAGGCAGACGGCUCAGUAACGCGUACUCUACCUAACCUAUGGACGGGAAUAACCUCGGGAAACUGAGUAUAAUGCCCGAUAGAACAUUAUGCCUGGAAUGGUUUAUGUUCCAAAUGAUUUAUCGCCGUAGGAUGGGACUGCGGCCUAUCAGUUUGUUGGUGAGGUAAUGGCCCACCAAGACUAUUACAGGUACGGGCUCUGAGAGGAGUAGCCCGGAGAUGGGUACUGAGACACGGACCCAGGCCCUAUGGGGCGCAGCAGGCGAGAAAACUUUGCAAUGUGCGAAAGCACGACAAGGUUAAUCCGAGUGGUUUCUGCUAAAGAAACCUUUUGUCGGUCCUAGAAACACCGAUGAAUAAGGGGUGGGCAAGUUCUGGUGUCAGCCGCCGCGGUAAAACCAGCACCUCAAGUGGUCAGGAUGAUUAUUGGGCCUAAAGCAUCCGUAGCCGGCUCUGUUAGUUUUCGGUUAAAUCUGUACGCUCAACGUACAAGCUG
rnacentral:rRNA from 1 species